UACAGAGGGGGCAAGCGUUAUUCGGAAUUAUUGGGCGUAAAGAGCGCGUAGGCGGCCAGAUAAGUCCGGUGUGAAAGUCAAAGGCUCAACCUUUGAAUGCCGCUGGAAACUGUCUGGCUAGAGUCCGGGAGGGGCGAGUGGAAUUCCUGGUGUAGCGGUGAAAUGCGCAGAUAUCAGGAGGAACACCGGUGGCGAAGGCGGGUCUCUGGGCAGUAACUGACGCUGAGGAGCGAAAGCGUGGGGAGCGAACAGG
rnacentral:rRNA from 1 species